rnacentral:lncRNA from 1 species
AUUCCAUCUAGGCGAUGAGACUUGAGUCAACAAUUGGAAGAAAGUGUUUUGGUGUUCAAAUUUCUCCGGGUUUCAGCGAUGUCUGUGUCCACAUAAUGUUUGCGGUACCGCUAGGCUAUGCUAUAGGUACCUAAUAUAGCGACGCUAUCUCCUCUUUGGCACAUUUCAGAGUAACUAGUCGAACAACCUAAUCUUCAACAUUUUAAGGACAAUAUAAACAAAGAAAAUACAAACAAUACCUAUUUCAGUAUAGAAAAAAAUAAAGGGAAAGGCAAAAACAUGAAAUUCAACCAUUUCUAAUCUCAAAUGCCAAGUUAACAUAUCUGAAUGAAAUGAGCAACCCUCCUAUAAAAAUAUAAACCUUACCGCCUUGAACCUUCACAAUUAAGAUGUAAACCACCAUCGUUAUA